AUGAUCAGCCACCCAGCUUCUGCCACUCUUUCUCCCAAGGAAUUCACUGCCAUGAUUCUACCUACCUUGACUGAGCUCACUGAUCAUUCAGAGAUAUUUAUCUAUCAGCACACUCAUCAGUCAUCAAGUCAAAGUGGGAUCUCAGCAGCACCAGUCGCUCACUCGCUGGUGGGCCAGCCCUUCCCUCCCAUGCAAGCAAGCAAGCCCAUCCACCUCGGCUCAAUGACAGACAAUAGGCAUGGAGCAAGUGAGUGCACCUCCAGCUCCAUUUGCUAUAAAUGGAGCCCUCCUGCUGGGAUCUGCAAGAGAACACAGUCAGACAACAUCCACAACACAAGACAAGGAAGCAGUGAAGAGUAG
rnacentral:rRNA from 1 species